UGUGUGCAGUCAAACUACAAUAACCUCACUGUGAGUAGCCGAAGCACCGCAGGUCAAAGGACCAGUCACACUACUGCAACAUCAAGCAAGUCACUGACGAGUGGAUAGACAUCCAAGUGACUUCUUGUCUUGGUCACGUUCAGUACCCUUGUUCUCUAACAAGCACCUGCACUAUCACUUCAGUGUCCCUACACUGUGGACUCAAGUUUCGUCCAUCCAGAAGGAGAGUGAUCUGUGCACUGAUCGGAUCGAUCACCGUCCUCGUGAUGAUCCAUUGAUCAGGAGCAUUUAGAAAUUAAUCACCAAUGAUACAUGGCUCAAAUUUUCAACUCUUGAGAAUAUGUAUCAUCAUCUUAUUAAUUUCUUGGACGAUUCAUAGACACAUAAACAAUAUGAAUGAAAGGAUGCCUUUUAUUUAUUCAAUAAUAAAUAGUCAAGUACAAAAUUAUGUCCCUAGAAUCAACAAUGUGUCAGCCAAAUUGGCUUCUAGGGCAUACAUCUAACAGUGUAUAUGUUUAAUUUUAAAUUUUGCAUAUACUCAGUGUUUUGUCAUCAUCAAAAAGGGGGAGAUUGUUGACCCCCU
rnacentral:lncRNA from 1 species